GAAAAGAAACCAACAGGGAUUGCCUCAGUAACGGCGAGUGAAGCGGCAAAAGCUCAAAUUUGAAAUCUAGCACUUUCAGUGUUCGAGUUGUAAUUUGAAGAAGGUAACUUUGGUUUUGGCUCUUGUCUAUGUUCCUUGGAACAGGACGUCACAGAGGGUGAGAAUCCCGUGCGAUGAGAUGCCCAAUUCCAUGUAAAGUGCUUUCGAAGAGUCGAGUUGUUUGGGAAUGCAGCUCUAAGUGGGUGGUAAAUUCCAUCUAAAGCUAAAUAUUGGCGAGAGACCGAUAGCGAACAAGUACAGUGAUGGAAAGAUGAAAAGAACUUUGAAAAGAGAGUGAAAAAGUACGUGAAAUUGUUGAAAGGGAAGGGCUUGAGAUCAGACUUGGUAUUUUGCGUUCCCUUCCUUUUUGGUUGGGUUCCUCGCAGUUUACUGGGCCAGCAUCGGUUUGGAUGGUAGGAUAAUGACAUUGGAAUGUAGCUUUACUUCGGUGAAGUGUUAUAGACUUUGUUGAUACUGCCUAUCUAGACCGAGGACUGCGUCUUUGACUAGGAUGCUGGCGUAAUGAUCUUAAGCCGCCCGU
rnacentral:rRNA from 1 species